rnacentral:hammerhead_ribozyme from 1 species
AUCCAACUGACAAGUCCCAAAUACAACGAAACGCGCGUCCUGUAU